GUGCCAGCAGCCGCGGUAAUACAGAGGGUGCGAGCGUUAAUCGGAUUUACUGGGCGUAAAGCGUGCGUAGGCGGCCAAUUAAGUCAAAAUGUGAAAUCCCCGAGCUUAACUUGGGAAUUGCAUUCGAUACUGGUUGGCUAGAGUAUGGGAGAGGAUGGUAGAAUUCCAGGUGUAGCGGUGAAAUGCGUAGAGAUCUGGAGGAAUACCGAUGGCGAAGGCAGCCAUCUGGCCUAAUACUGACGCUGAGGUACGAAAGCAUGGGAGCAAACAGGAUUAGAUACCCUGGUAGUCCAUGACCGUAAACGAU
rnacentral:rRNA from 1 species